UCUGUUUUGGGCAAAAUGCGCGUCUGCAAAUUUGAAAAUAACCGACGCCUUUCCUGGCAUCGGUUAUUUUUUUUG
rnacentral:sRNA from 1 species